GUUCGGAAAACUGUAUUACCCCAUGAUAUGAUACAAAAUAAAGAGAGGAUCAGAAUCUGCACAUAUACAGAGACGAGCAGAUUAAUCGCUGCUACAGUGUCAUCUGCUUCCCUUUCCCCUCUCAUUUGCUCACCAAUCGCCAUGCAGAAUUGAGCGAUAUCUGCACACAGACGUUUGUGCUGUGCCCACAGCUGUAUUACUUGAAAUCUCAACCCGGUCUCGGACGCAGAACUCGGCUACAUACCACUCAAGCGUUGUUUUUUGUGGAAUAGAAAUCUUUCUACUCGAGCAUUAACAAUGGCCUCGCAAGCUGCCAAGGCCGUGCUAAAACAGAACAAGACUGUCCUGUUUAUAAGCGAUAUGCAGGAAAAAUUCGUCAACAACAUUUACGGGUUCGACAAGAUUGUUGGCAAUAUUUCAAAAUUGCUUAGGAGCUGCAAAGUUCUUAAUAUACCGGUGAUAGUGACGGAACAAAAUCCCGAAGCAAUGGGGAAAACUAUACCGGAGAUCGACCUCACCGGAGUCAGAGGACCUUUUGCAAAAACCCAGUGGAGCAUGUGUACGCCUGAGGUUAUGAGUCUACUGAACAAGCUCUGCGAUAACAGACCACCCGAGUCGAUCAUACUUGCCGGAAUUGCAAGUCAUGUUUGCAUCGAAAAUACAGCUAUUGAUUUGAAAGUGGGUGGUUUCGAAGUGCAUACAGCUGCCGAUUGUUGCUCGUCGAGUACUAAAAUGGAGAGGGACCUUGCUUUUGAGAGGAUGAAACAGAUAGGAUGUUUUAUUGGCACAACUGAGAGCAUAGUUUUCAAAUUAGUCCAAGAUUCAAGACACAAGGAUAUUCAGAAAAUACUGGAAAUUGUUUGGCCUAAAAAUUAAACGUAUAUACAAGAGUGAAAUACUGAUAUAUUGAUAGUCUCUGCAUGAAACAAAUAGUUGUCAAAACUCAAUUAUAUAUAAUUAAAGCUGUAAAUAAUAUUUUUUCGUGAAAAUAAAUGUAUAUUUUAGACCUUAAACAGGAAAAUUUCUCAUAUCUUGAUUCGAUUUACAUUGUCAUUGUGGAAGUAGUUUUUCGAAUUUAUUCACGAUAUAAUCGACAGAUAAACAUACGAAAUAGUACAAUUUUGCAUCAACAGAACAGCUUUUUGCCAAGAUUACAUUCGCUUUGAUGGAUGAAAAUGAAAAAAAUCUAUCCUUAUCUUAAAGAUAAGAAAUAUGAAACGCACAUGCACUGAAGACAACGAGUUAGGAUGUGCUUGAAACAAGCCAAUGAGAAAUUAUCUCGCGCGAUUGUCUUUACAAAUCCAUAUAACGACUGCAUUUCUCGCCAAUGAAAACCUUUUAAAAAAUUCCGCAAAAUAAUUAUAGAAAGUGAUUUUAACAACCCAAUAAGAAAAAUGUAAAUAGAUGAUGCUCGAAAACGUCAAGCGUUUUAUAUUAUAUCGAGUAACCGACGCUACUAUUAUAGUCUAGGCGCUGAGCACUUUUCGUCGGACUUGAAUGGCCAGUUGAUCACCAAGGUUAUUUCUAAGUAUUUUUGCCUCCUGAACAUGAAUUUCGAGGAUGGAAUGCUCAAAAGUGAUCAGGAUACAAACGAAUUAGCGCUGCCCCACCCCCUUCUCUCGAAGAUCAGUUAUAAUCAGCUGAUGCGGCAAGUCAGUUUUCGGCGAAGUUUCGCGAGGGAAUGAGCCUAUAGGUAAAAUAGUGUAGAUAAUUGUUAAUUCCAAGAAUAAUUUCGAAAAUGGCCGUGAAUGCCGCUAAGCUAGCUCUGAAACAAGGCAAAACGGCCCUGUUUAUCUGUGAUAUGCAAGAAAAAUUCGCCAAAGUCAUUUAUGAGUUUGAUAAGAUCGUCACUAACUCUUCGAAAUUGAUACAAGCUUGCAAUAUACUUAAUGUACCAGUACUGGUCACAGAGCAGAAUCCUAAAGCUUUGGGAAAAACAAUACCUCAGUUCAAUAUAACUGAAGCCAAGGGUCCCUUUUCUAAAACCCAGUUCAGCAUGUAUACACCAGAGUGGUGAAAUUAAUUUUAUAGGUUAGCAAGGAACUUGCUUCGCUUUGCAAUAAUGGACCUCCAGAAUCAAUCAUCCUUGUUGGUAUCGAAUGUCAUGUUUGCGUAGAAAACACAGCUAUAGAUCUAAGGAAAAAUGGUUAUGAAGUUCACACUGUAGCCGACUGCUGCUCUUCUAGGACUCAAGAGGACAGAUUACUUGCUUUGGAGCGAAUGAAAGAAAUGGGAUGUCACAUUGCAACAUCUGAAAAUGUCAUUUUCAAGCUACUAGGAGAUGCAAAGCAUAAGGACUUCAAGCAGGUACAGCAACUUGUCAGAGAACCUACACUAGCUACUGGCCUAGUGCCACUUUCUAAAAUUUAAAAUAAAACUAUUUGUUCAAACCACAUAUUUGCAUGUAAAGAUGCUUGUUGCUGAUAAACUAUUGCAUAUAGAUAAAUAUAUUUUUUUGAGAAAAAAA